AACGGACGCUGGCGGCAUGCCUAACACAUGCAAGUCGAACGAGAUCUUCGGGUCUAGUGGCGCACGGGUGCGUAACGCGUGGGAAUCUGCCCUUUGGUUCGGAAUAACAGUUGGAAACGACUGCUAAUACCGGAUGAUGACGAAAGUCCAAAGAUUUAUCGCCAGAGGAUGAGCCCGCGUAGGAUUAGCUAGUUGGUGUGGUAAAGGCGCACCAAGGCGACGAUCCUUAGCUGGUCUGAGAGGAUGAUCAGCCACACUGGGACUGAGACACGGCCCAGACUCCUACGGGAGGCAGCAGUGGGGAAGAUUGGACAAUGGGCGAAAGCCUGAUCCAGCGAUGCCGCGUGAGUGAUGAAGGCCUUAGGGUUGUAAAGCUCUUUUACCCGGGAUGAUAAUGACGGUACCGGGAGAAUAAGCUCCGGCUAACUCCGUGCCAGCCGCCGCAGUAA
rnacentral:rRNA from 1 species